CUGAAGACCUUACCCGAUUAGCUGAGAGGUGGUGCAUGGCCGUCGUCAGCUCGUGUCGUGAGAUGUUGGGUUAAGUCCCGUAACGAGCGCAACCCUUGUCCUUAGUUACCAGCACGUUAUGGUGGGCACUCUAAGGAGACUGCCGGUGACAAACCGGAGGAAGGUGGGGAUGACGUCAAGUCAUCAUGGCCCUUACGGCCUGGGCUACACACGUGCUACAAUGGUCGGUACAAAGGGUUGCCAAGCCGCAAGGUGGAGCUAAUCCCAUAAAACCGAUCGUAGUCCGGAUCGCAGUCUGCAACUCGACUGCGUGAAGUCGGAAUCGCUAGUAAUCGUGAAUCAGAAUGUCACGGUGAAUACGUUCCCGGGCCUU
rnacentral:rRNA from 1 species